rnacentral:rRNA from 1 species
CCUACGUGCUGCAGCAGUGGGGAAUAUUGGACAAUGGGCGAAAGCCUGAUCCAGCCAUGCCGCGUGUGUGAAGAAGGCCUUCGGGUUGUAAAGCACUUUCAGUGGGGAAGAAAGCCUUGGGGCUAAUACCCUCGAGGAAGGACAUCACCCACAGAAGAAGCACCGGCUAACUCCGUGCCAGCAGCCGCGGUAAUACGGAGGGUGCGAGCGUUAAUCGGAAUUACUGGGCGUAAAGCGCGCGUAGGCGGUCUGAUAAGCCGGUUGUGAAAGCCCCGGGCUCAACCUGGGAACGGCAUCCGGAACUGUCAGGCUAGAGUGCAGGAGAGGAAGGUAGAAUUCCCGGUGUAGCGGUGAAAUGCGUAGAGAUCGGGAGGAAUACCAGUGGCGAAGGCGGCCUUCUGGACUGACACUGACGCUGAGGUGCGAAAGCGUGGGUAGCAAACAGGAUUAGAUACCCGAGUAGU